rnacentral:rRNA from 1 species
GAUGGCGACCGGCGCACGGGUGAGUAACGCGUAUCCAACCUUCCCCGCAGUAGGGUAUAGCCCGGCGAAAGUCGGAUUAAUCCCCUAUGACGUAUUCCGAUGUCAUCAGAGGAAUACCAAAGAUUGAUCGCUGCGGGAUGGGGAUGCGUCUGAUUAGCUUGUCGGCGGGGUAACGGCCCACCGAGGCAACGAUCAGUAGGGGUUCUGAGAGGAAGGUCCCCCACAUUGGUACUGAGACACGGACCAAACUCCUACGGGAGGCAGCAGUGAGGAAUAUUGGUCAAUGGGCGCAAGCCUGAACCAGCCAAGUAGCGUGCAGGAUGACGGCCCUAUGGGUUGUAAACUGCUUUUUCAGGGGAAUAAAGUCGGGGAUUGAUCCCCGUUUGCAUGUACCCUGCGAAUAAGGACCGGCUAAUUCCGUGCCAGCAGCCGCGGUAAUACGGAAGGUCCGGGCGUUAUCCGGAUUUAUUGGGUUUAAAGGGAGCGCAGGCCGGAGAUUAAGCGUGACGUGAAAUGCCGCGGCUCAACCGUGGAAGUGCGUCGCGAACUGAUUUUCUUGAGUAUGUUCGACGUAGGCGGAAUUCGUGGUGUAGCGGUGAAAUGCUUAGAUAUCACGAAGAACUCCGAUU